rnacentral:tRNA from 1 species
GCCUGGGUGGCUCAGUUGGUUGAGCGUCUGACUUUGGCUCAGGUCAUGAUCUCGCAGUCUGUGAGUUCAAGCCCCGCAUUGGGCU